GAAGGUUCUCAACAUUAAUACAUAUCACAAACUCUGUGUGGCUUAGGAAGAUCUACAAGCUUUGUUUAUGCUGAAGAUUCAUGAGAAAGUUGGAGGAGGCAGACAAGCUUGAUGGAGGAGGACGGAGAACUCACGAGGUGGAGGAAGCUGGACGAACAGACAGCGGAAGAGGCGGGAUGAAAAGGCGAAGGAGGAGGCAUGACGCUCAAGUUUGCCAGCGGUGGAGAGUUCAACAAGAAGAUGGCGGCCUCUAGAUUAGGUUUAGUGUUGUAUUUUUAAUUUUUUUUUAAUUUUGUUUAAUGGUAUAAACCGGUUCAAAUAUUUUGUAAACCUGUUUUAAUAUAUACAUUCUAUGUUUAUCUAUAUUCUAGAGUGAUGAGAGGACGAGAUCUUUGUAGAAGCAGUUUUGAGUGAUGAGGUCUGACACAGAGGCCAAGCCGUGGACGUUAAUGGCAGCGUAGAAGCUGGAGACAGCUUCAGAGUUCAGACACAGAUGUGGGAGCUGUUCGGGACGCAACGUCGAUGGCUGUCUCCCACCACUCAGCUGCUUUUACAGACGGACUACAGGAUGUGAACUAUUGCCACCGAGUGACGGUUGUUGGUUUCAAACUAUUGCCAGAAAGGUGAAUGAGAAGUUUCAUCUCAUUGGUUACAUAUAUUCUGCAAAUAUAUCUUUUUAUUCCUCCACUGCAAGGUAUAUCUUUUUAUUCAUCCAAGUAUGCAUCUUUAUGGAGUUUUGUAGCUUGUGAUUAAGUGUUUAGUGUAGCCAAUCUUAAAGCUUCAUUCUUGGAGGAGUUUAAGUCUGGAGUUUAAGUCUGAACGUUUUUUAAGAUUUUAAUAGUUUUCAUUUUUGAAGGAUUUGGUAAAGAUCCCAACUUUUUAACGUUAACAUGUGUGGAUUCACAGGUUUAUUCUUUGGACUGGACACCUGAGAUGAACCAGAUUGUCAGUGCAUCUCAACAAGACACGCUCAGUUAGAAGAGAAAAGUGAUGGAAAAGGGAAAGACACAACCAAAGGGCCAAUUGAUAAAGUCCUGAAAAUGCAAUCGUUUAGAUCUUGAAAAGGUCAGACUUUUUUUUUGCUAACAAAAAAAAAAGUCAGACUUUAAUAAUACGAUUAGUUAAAUUCUAUUUUUAUAUACUAAUAUAUAUCUAAAUGGGUAUAUCACUCUGCCCACCUGCACCAAACCAAACUCCCACGCUCACAGGUUUAUAUAUACUAUUUAUGUAUAAUUUAGAUACUGAAAAUGUAGGAGAUUGGCACAUUUCUCCAUUAGAGUUACUCCACAGUGGUCCUUUGCUUGAUUUUGAUCUUCUUCCAGGAUGUUGUUCUUCAAUGGCUGCCUUGAGUUUACCGUCUCUACCAAAUGUCCUUAUCUCAGACACUUGUGGAUAAGCUUAUGGUCUCUGUGAGUAACCAACUUGAACCGUAGAUCUACAUAGAUAGUUCGUUGUUUGUCUCAUAUAGUUUUGUUCAUCAAUUUUCAGGUCAAAGCUGCAGAGCCUUUUCAACCAGAUAUCUUUCCAUACUUCACAGGCCAGGAAUCUAAAAACAGAGACGCACAUAGCUACGAAAUGUUAUGUCUGAGACCCCGCAAAUGUUUGAGACAAACGACUGUUGUUAGUUUAUUUCACUAUGUAUCUCUACAGACUCAGCUUUGUAUUGACAAGCUUUUUCAUGAGAAGGACAAUAUGCAUUUACAAAACAGCUUCCUUAUUGUUUUCAUAUCGUUAAAUACGUUCCUGCAAUUCUUCUGUGAUUUUUUCUUCAUGGGUUUACAUUCCCCUGUCACUAGAAACAUUCAAAAGUACACAUAAAGAUAUUGGUUUAAUGUUCGUGCGUUUGUGUGUGUUUUGACGUGUUUUUGACUACGUCCCGCAUAUAUUAUAACUUAAUUGUAUGAGAAAUAGCAUAAAAUUUUUACAGGAAAAUAUAACAAACCUACAAACACAAUGUAAUUUACCUAUAAGUGGCUCCGCUCACCCAUGGGUCUUCUUCGUUAGGGCUGCCAUAAGCCCUCAUAAGAACUUAGCGUAUUCCAAAAAAGGGUCACAAUAAAUAGACAAGAACACAAACUUUCAAUUAUGAGCUACUCAGCUGUUACCUCACCCACCCCUCUACAAACAACUAAGUGGGAGUUAUUAAGUCUACAAUAAUAUGUCAUCCAAACAAGAUCACUAAGAGAUACCACCACUGCUAUUAUUUUAUAAGAGAACUAGAUUUUGAUCCGCUCUCUAAAAACGCCGAUAACUUUUUACUAUUCUAAUAAAAUUCGAUUGAGUUUAUAACUUUUAUUUUAAAAUAAUAAUUUUCAAGUUUUUCUAUUUGAAUUUUCAAAAAAAUUGUUCUAUUAUACUAUUUGAUUUUCUUAUCCGAAAGACCCGCGAAUCGAUAGAUCUAGUGACCUGUGUAUAAUCCGGUUCAAAUUUAGUAAAAAGAAUUUUAAUUAAAAAUUCUAGAAAACCAGUAAAAAUCUAAAAAUAUGUACGAUCCGAUAUCAUUAUUAUGUAAAAACAAUAUAAUAAAUAAUUUUUUUCAAAAUAAAAUUAUUUAUAUAUUCAUAUUCGAUCGUUAAAUAAUACUAUGCAUGAAAAAAUAUAUUUAAAUUUAAUGGAGUGUAUAGUUUGCAUUAAAAUUAGAAUUAUUAUAAUUCACAAAAUAUGGAAAGUAUUAAUUACCAUAAAUAUAGGGAAUAUUCAUAUUAUUAAUUUAAAUAAGUAAUAUAUGUGAGAUUUAUAUCUCUUACGAAUUAAAAAAUUACAUCGCUCUUUUAGGAUAAAAAGAAUACUAAAUUGUCUAUGUCAUCUUUUUCCAAAAUUUUAAUUUCAUUAUGUCAUACAUGUGAACUUUCCCAUAAACAAAAACAAACACAUGCAUUUACAUGUUUUUUUGGAACAUCAAUUUUACUUUAUGUUUUAAGUUCAACUAUAUUUAUUUUGGUGCAGUUAUCAGCUAUUUAUUCUAUUUUUAUUGAACAGAUCAGUGAAACCACUUAUACUAUUCAUUUUUGACAUAAACAACUUUAAAAUAAAGUAAUAAACUACUAUCUCUAACCACUAUCAAAUAAAUAGAUAAAAAAAAUUGAAUUCAUUUGAAAAUUAUUA